GGGUUCUGUUCGACGAUGCGUUCGACAACGAGAAGUACGCAACGACGCCGAUGAAGCUGUGUAAGAUCAGGUUCGCCAUGUUCAAAGACAGUGCAAAUGACGACACAUGCAACGCAACUUUGAUGUGCAAGAAGAGCAGCGGCUCAAGUGAUGAGGACAACAAGUUAGAUAGGCUUGCAUCAAGCAUAGACGUCUCCGACUAUAGAAGUUGAGAGAAACAUAGAUCCGACGGCAAUAAAAAUAAGGAAAAGAGAACUAAAAUAUUAGCUAAGG
rnacentral:lncRNA from 1 species